rnacentral:rRNA from 1 species
CACGUAGGGGGCAAGCGUUGUCCGGAUUUAUUGGGCGUAAAGAGCUCGUAGGUGGCUGAGUAAGUCGGAUGUUAAAUCCCCAGGCUCAACCUGGGACACCACCCGAUACUGCUCUGGCUAGAGUCCGGUAGGGGAGCGUGGAAUUCCCGGUGUAGCGGUGAAAUGCUUAGAUAUCGGAAGGAACAUCAGUGGCGAAAGCGACUUCCUGGACCAAUACUGACGCUCAUGUGCGAAAGCGUGGGGAGCAAACAGGG